AUGAAUCUCUUGGCCUGGAACUGUCGAGGAUUGGGGUUGGACUCGACAGUUGACGAAUUAAGAGACCUGAUACGGUCCUACAACCCGGCGGUGGUUUUUCUUUGCGAGACAAAGAAGAAGGCGAGAGCAAUGGAGCGAUUAAAGUGGAGGCUAGGGUUUAAGCAAGGAGUAGCAGUUGAUUGUGUGGGGCUUCGCGGAGGAUUGGCACUAUGGUGGAGAGACUCAGUCACUAUGACUAUUAGGCCAUGGAGCCAAUAUUUCAUUGAUGCGGAGAUGGUGUGGGAGGGCAAAACCUGUAGAUUCAUUGGUUUCUACAUGGAGCCAAAAACGGAACUUCGUAAAAAAUCUUGGGACGCUAUCAGGUAA
rnacentral:rRNA from 1 species